GCCCUCGACUUAAUCGAGGAAGUGCAUUGGAUACUGCCGAACUGGAGUGCAGGAGAGGUGAGCGGAAUUCCCGAUGUAGAGGUGAAAUUCGUAGAUAUCUGGAGGAACAACGGAGGCGAAGGCGGCUCACUGGACUGUUACUGACGCUGAGGCGCGAAAGCGUGGGGAGCAAACAGGAUUAGAUACCCUGGUAGUCCACGCUGUAAACGAUGGAUACUAGAUGUCGGGGACUCUUGCCUCCUCGGUGUCGUAGUUAACGCGUUAAGUAUCCCGCCUGGGGACUACGGCCGCAAGGCUAAAACUCAAAGAAAUUGACGGGGGCCCGCACAAGCGGUGGAGUAUGUGGUUUAAUUCGAGGCAACGCGAAGAACCUUACCUGGGCUUGACAUCCC
rnacentral:rRNA from 1 species